UCUGACGUCAGGGCCAGGCCUUUGGAUCUGGGCCACGGUCAGCUUCGCUUGGGACCGGCUCCCCAUGACCCACCCCAGGGAGAUAAUCAUUGAACAGCCAGCCGCGGGGAUGCCAGGAGGCCUCCGACCCCUCGCCAGCCGCCCUUACACAACGUCUGAUUGACUAAACUUUGGCCCAGUUCACUGCUGAUGCAAAACACAUGGCCCGUCCGUUGACAGGCGGGAGGGGCGGGCCCAGGCUGGCGGGGCACCUCCUGGACGUCGAGUGUGUCCAGGGCACAAGCUGGCAGCACAUUGUGUGUACCCGUGGCUGCUGGUUGGCAGAACAUUAGGGUGGUAGGUGUCAGCCACCCUCAAAGCCCCGGAAGGCUGUGCCUGAUGCCGGCCAACAGGUGACUUGUUGGCAAAGGUCUGACCUAGCUGGGGGCUAAUCACCCUACUGAGUGUUCACUGUACCCCAAUAUAAGGGCAGGGGUUUCUGCCUAUUUUGCUCAUUUUUGUGGGUACAGUUACUGCACUGUCCUUAGGGCCUUGCAUCACGACCAACCUCUGAGGCGGAGCCCAUGCACAACCCUAUGUCCAGACAAGGAAACUGAGGCACAGGGAGCAGAGCCCUACUCCCAGCACCCCGGCUGGUGGGCAGCAGAGGGAGAGCUAGAGGACAGGCGAGCGGGGCUCUGGAGUACUACCCCAGACGAUCCUGUAGGGUGCCAUUGCCUCUUCUGGAACCUUCCGUGUACCCUCCAAAGAGCUCGGGCUGGGUGCAGUCACUCCUGGAGUCAGCUAUCCCUUUUCCUUGCCCUGGCAAGUCCGAGCACUGAGGGAGGGGAAGGGGGAGGGGGGGCUUGGCGGUUUUGCUAGAUUACACUUGAGCAAUGAGACCUUUAUAACAGCUCUUUAGAAAAAUGUGCUUUGCAAGCCGUCGGAGCUUCGGUCCAAUUUAAUGGACCAUGGAGCGGUUGCUGGUGUUUCGAGAGCAUUGGCGCUGAACGGAGCAAAGGUGGCCUGGAGACUUGGGCUGGGCUGCUGAGGCUUAAAAGGACUCUCACCGCGUGAAAACAUGGGACAGCCACAUUCUUUCAUGGGGGAGGUGGGGCAGCUGAGGCCCGGAGAGCACAGCUAGACCGUUUCCCACGCUAAGGCCCUUAACGAGACAGACGGGAUGGUGGUUUUCUGGAGGCAACAAGGAACGAACAAUGUAAAUCCCACGUCUGUGCCGUCUCCGCUGCCGGGGGGCCGGCUCUGUGGGUACUCGGCUGGCUCCGCCGUGGAAACGGCCGACACUGUGGAGCUGUGGGACGAGCAGCCCAGGAGUCAUCUGCCCCCCAGCAGCCCAGGUCGUCCACCCCACUGUGUUUGUUAGGGACAAAUAUUUAGAUGUUCCACAUUUAUGGGGUAAUCUUUGCGUCUUUGCGGCCUGGAGGGCAUUUUUAAGAGCUGAAUGAGUCGAUUUGCUCGUUUGGAGCCACAGAAUUAUAUAAUUGAAAGGGUCCUUAAAAGAUUAGGUUAAUCCAGUUUAACAGGUAGGGGGUCUCCUUGGGGGUGAUAAAAUGUUCUGGAAGUGUGUGGCAGUGGCGGCUGCAUAAUUGUGAAUGUACUAAAUUCCACUGAAUUGUACACUGCAAAAUG